rnacentral:rRNA from 1 species
AAUGAGAGCGGCGCACGGGUGCGUAACGCGUAUGCAACCUACCUUUUACAGGGGGAUAGCCCGGAGAAAUCUGGAUUAAUACCCCAUGGCACUAUUGAUUGGCAUCAAGAGAUAGUUAAAGAUUUAUCGGUAAGAGAUGGGCAUGCGUCUGAUUAGCUAGUUGGCGGUGUAACGGACCACCAAGGCGACGAUCAGUAGGGGUUCUGAGAGGAAGGUCCCCCACACUGGCACUGAGAUACGGGCCAGACUCCUACGGGAGGCAGCAGUAGGGAAUAUUGGGCAAUGGUCGGAAGACUGACCCAGCCAUGCCGCGUGCAGGAAGACGGCCUAUUGGGUUGUAAACUGCUUUUAUCUGGGAAGAAAAAGUCCAUGCGUGGAAAAUUGCCGGUACCAGAUGAAUAAGCACCGGCUAACUCCGUGCCAGCAGCCGCGGUAAUACGGAGGGUGCAAGCGUUGUCCGGAUUUAUUGGGUUUAAAGGGUGCGUAGGCGGCUGAUUAAGUCAGCGGUGAAAGACUUCGGCUUAACCGGAGCAGUGCCGUUGAUACUGGUCAGCUUGAGUGCUGCAGGGGUACAUGGAAUUGAUGGUGUAGCGGUGAAAUGCAUAGAUACCAUCAGGAACACCGAUAGCGAAGGCAUUGUACUGGGCAGCAACUGACGCUGAGGCACGAAAGUGUGGGGAUCGAACAGGAUUAGAUACCCUGGUAGUCCACACUGUAAACGAUGAUUACUCGCUGUUAUGUUGAAUGAUGU